AUCCUGGACCGACUGGGAAUCGAGCCCAGUUACCAUCCGCAUGGCUUUGCCUGGCAGCUGGGACAUCAUGACUAAUCUAAAGAAGAAUCUCAAUUCUUAAAGAUCGGUACGAAAAACAUGAACGAGCUCCAUGAAUCAAUUUGCUGAGGGAAUCUAAAUACAUCAUCGAGUGCAUUCAGGCUUGCAUUUGGAAUGGUCCACUGCGGUUCCUCGGAUUUGUCAAUUGAAAGUUGUUCAAUACAACAACAAAAAUUUAUUAAACGAUGUAAUAAAAAAAAACUUGAUGAUUCAAAUGA